rnacentral:tRNA from 1 species
CCCUUCGUAGUGCAACUGGUUAGCACGUUGGUGUCGAACCAAGAGAUCCUAGGUUCGAGUCCCUGCUGAUCCG